GUUUUUAUAAUUUAAAUAAAAUAUUGGUCUUGUAAACCAAAAAUAAGGUAAUCUUUAAAAACA
rnacentral:tRNA from 1 species